rnacentral:lncRNA from 1 species
CUUGAAUGCAAUCCUCACAGAGAUGUUUCUGAGAAUGCUUCUGUCUAGAUUUUAUAUGAACAUAUCCCCUUUCCCAAAGAAAUCCUCAAAGCUAUCCAAAUAUCCACUUUCAGAUUCUACAAAAAAAGUGUUUCAAACUGCUCUAUCAAAAGAAAGGUUCAACUGUGUUAGUUGAGUAAACAUAUCACAAAGUUAUUUCUGAGAAUGUUUCUGUCUAGUUUUUAUACGAAGAUAUUUCCUUUUUCACCAUAGGCCACCACUGGCUCCACAUGUCCAGUUCCACAAACUACAAAAUCAGUUUUUUCAAACCUGCUUCUUGAAAGGGAAUGUUUAACUCUGUGACUUGAAUGCAAACAUCGCCGAGAUGUUUCUGAGAAUGCUUCUGUCUAGAUUUUGUAUGAAGAUAUUUCCUUUUCCAAUGAAAUCCUCAAAGCUAUGCAAAUAUCCACUUGCAGAUUCAACAAAAAGAGUCUUUCAAUGCUGCUCUAUCAAAAGAAAGGUUCAACUCUUUUAUUUGUGUACACACAUCACAAACUAUUUUCUGAGAAUGGUUCUGUCUAGUUUUUUUGGGAAGAUAUUUCCUUUUUCACCGUAGACCAAAAAUGGCUCAACAUGUCCGGUUGCAGAUAAUACAAAAUCAGUGUUUCAAACCUGCUGUAUGAAAGGGAAUGUUCACCUCUGUGACUUGAAUGCAAACAUCACAGAGAUGUUUCUGAGACUGCCUCUGUCUGUAUUUUAUAUGAAGAUAUUCCCGUUUCCAAAGAAAAUCCACAAAUCUAUCCAAAUAUGCUCUUGCAGAUUCUACAAAAAGAGUGUUUCAAAACUGGUCUAUCCAAAGAAAUUUUCAACUCUGUUAGUUGUGUACAC